AAAAAUAGCGCCGGGUCUGCAAAGCACUGUUAAAAGGCGGUUGAGCCUUUUUGCAGAUGACGAGGAAGAAGUUAUCGAAAUUUUCGGCGGAUGCUUCUUGCCCCAUAAGUGCGGGGGACACAGGCUCUCUUAUAAAACAGCGCAGCGACGCGCAGACAGAGGGGAGAGCAAU
rnacentral:ncRNA from 1 species